rnacentral:rRNA from 1 species
CUAAGGUGAGCGAGCGAACUCUCGUUAAGGAACUCGGCAAAAUGACCCCGUAACUUCGGGAGAAGGGGUGCUCUUUAGGGUUAACGCCCAGAAGAGCCGCAGUGAAUAGGCCCAAGCGACUGUUUAUCAAAAACACAGGUCUCUGCUAAACCGUAAGGUGAUGUAUAGGGGCUGACGCCUGCCCGGUGCUGGAAGGUUAAGAGGAGUGGUUAGCUUCUGCGAAGCUACGAAUCGAAGCCCCAGUAAACGGCGGCCGUAACUAUAACGGUCCUAAGGUAGCGAAAUUCCUUGUCGGGUAAGUUCCGACCCGCACGAAAGGCGUAACGAUUUGGGCACUGUCUCAACGAGAGACUCGGUGAAAUCAUAGUACCUGUGAAGAUGCAGGUUACCCGCGACAGGACGGAAAGACCCCGUGGAGCUUUACUGUAGCCUGAUAUUGAAAUUCGGCACAGCUUGUACAGGAUAGGUAGGAGCCUUUGAAACGUG